rnacentral:rRNA from 1 species
GAUGAACGCUGGCGGCGUGCCUAAUACAUGCAAGUCGAGCGAACGGACGAGAAGCUUGCUUCUCUGAUGUUAGCGGCGGACGGGUGAGUAACACGUGGAUAACCUACCUAUAAGACUGGGAUAACUUCGGGAAACCGGAGCUAAUACCAGAUGAUAUUUUGAACCGCAUGGUUCAAAAGUGAAAGACGGUCUUGCUGUCACUUAUAGAUGGAUCCGCGCUGCAUUAGCUAGUUGGUAAGGUAACGGCUUACCAAGGCAACGAUGCAUAGCCGACCUGAGAGGGUGGUCGGCCACACUGGAACUGAGACACGGUCCAGACUCCUACGGGAGGCAGCAGUAGGGAAUCUUCCGCAAUGGGCGAAAGCCUGACGGAGCAACGCCGCGUGAGUGAUGAAGGUCUUCGGAUCGUAAAACUCUGUUAUUAGGGAAGAACAUAUGUGUAAGUAACUGUGCACAUCUUGACGGUACCUAAUCAGAAAGCCACGGCUAACUACGUG